CGAACGCUGGCAGCGUGGAUGAGGCAUGCAAGUCGAACGGUCAGUGGCUGGUAGCAAUAUUGGCUACUGAUAGUGGCGGAAGGGCGAGUAAUGCGAGAGCAAGCUACCCCGUCGAUUCGGAACAACGGCUAGGAAACGGCCGCUAAUGCCGGAUACGAACCGGUCCCCGCAGUGGGGAGUUGGUUAGAAAGGCCGGGACCCGCGAAGGGCCGGUCGUCGAAGGAGGCGCUCCCGUGCCAUCGGCUAGUUGGCGAGGUAACGGCUCACCAAGGCGUACGGCUAGGUGGACUGAGAGGUUGGUCACCCGCACUGGGACUGAGACACUGCCCAGACUCCUACGGGAGGCUGCAGUCGAGGAUCAUUUGCAAUGGGCGAAAGCCUGACAAUGCGACGCUGCGUGCAAGGAUGAAGGCCUUCGGGUCGUAAACUGCUGUUGGGAGGGAAAAGGACGCGGGCCCAACAAGCCCUGCCGUUUGAUUGUACUUCCAGAGAAAGUCGCGGCUAACUCUGUGCCAGCAGCUGC
rnacentral:rRNA from 1 species